rnacentral:tRNA from 1 species
GCCCGGGUGGCUCAGUCGGUUGAGCGUCCGACUUCAGCUCAGGUCACGAUCUCGCGGUUCGUGAGUUCGAGCCCCGCGUCGGGCU